rnacentral:rRNA from 1 species
GACGAACGCUGGCGGCGUGCUUAACGCAUGCAAGUCGAACGGAAAGGCCCUGCUUUUGUGGGGUGCUCGAGUGGCGAACGGGUGAGUAACACGUGAGUAACCUGCCCUUAACUUUGGGAUAACUUCAGGAAACUGGGGCUAAUACCGGAUAGGAGCUCCUGCUGCAUGGUGGGGGUUGGAAAGUUUCGGCGGUUGGGGAUGGACUCGCGGCUUAUCAGCUUGUUGGUGGGGUAGUGGCUUACCAAGGCUUUGACGGGUAGCCGGCCUGAGAGGGUGACCGGCCACAUUGGGACUGAGAUACGGCCCAGACUCCUACGGGAGGCAGCAGGGGGGAAUAUUGCACAAUGGGCGGAAGCCUGGUGCAGCAACGCCGCGGGCGGGAUGACGGCCUUCGGGUUGUAAACCGCUUUCGCCUGUGACGAAGCGUGAGUGACGGUAAUGGGUAAAGAAGCACCGGCUAACUACGUG